rnacentral:rRNA from 1 species
AUGUGCUCAUCGAUUGGGCAAGUUGUGUUGCUUUCUAUUGGCCGGUCGUGGCUGAUAUACCCAAGAGAAAGCUUACGAGGGAAGGGAAAGAAGGCCUCUGUACACAUGAACCCCGCCUUCUCCAUCCCUACACGCAACCUCUUCCUCUCCUCUGCAUCUUCCGUCACGGGCCCUUGCGGCUGCAGCAGAGGGCAGUCAAGGGGCGAGCAGGAUGGGUCCAGCCGAUUUCUUUGCCGGAUCUGGAGCCCAGGGGCGACGCCGACGAGCACGCAGCCACGCCAACAUCGUUGCCUCGAGAGAGGAGUGAGUGGGAGGAGAAGGCGGCGGCGGCUCGAGGGCAAGGGUCGGAGCUUCUCGCCUGAUUCAUGGCGUAAGUGGAUAUGGGCUUUGGUAUCGAUUCCCUUUUCUAAUUCAAGUUCUUGCGGAAGUCUCGUACAGAAUUGGCGUCCUAACUUUAUCUCAGCGGAUCUAUUUUUUAUCAGAGUUUAG